GAAAGAAUCAUUGAUGCAGACUGUGCGGAUCACAAAUACUCCCUAACCUGUAAGGCUGGGGUGUCCAAACUUUUUUCACUGAGGGCUACUUACUAGAAAUUAGAUAUCAGACUGCAAAGAGCGCUACAGAGAGUCAACAUUUCACCAGUUGUCAGUGGGAACAGCAUGAUGUAAAUACAAGACGGGCCCUCGUCCUUCGUGCACUUCCUGUGUACCUGCGUGAAGAUGCCUCCACGUUAUUCAGGACUUGUGAUUCAGCAGAUGGUCCAGACCUCACUGACACUCCUGUGGCUCUGCUGACAGUUGUCACGGAUGACACUACUGAUUCGGCCCUCUUCAGUCCCGAAAGCAUCUGCAUUGUCGUUGAGGAUGAAAUACUUGUGAAUGGUCCCAC
ensembl:lncRNA